CGAGCCUUCACCCUAUCGAGGGGUUCGUAACAUAAAUGGGGGCUCGUCCGGGAUCCUGUGUCCGGAUAGUAGCUAAGGAAUUCGAGUGAUCUAAUUUAAUUCGGGUGAUCCACGUUCUCUGGUUAGACAGAGUAAGCCAGCGGGGCUGUGCUUAGCGCCAGUCCUGACAACGGUUUACUGUUUAUUAUUUUGCCUUUCUUAUUUUAGUUUGUUAUUUUUGGAGGUACUCCGGGGGAGAGAGCGAUCUCUUAAUCGGUACCCUCUGAAGACUAGAGAGGAAAAGUUAGCUUUAUGGGUUAGAAUCAACAGGGAGUCGCUCAGAUGCACGUCUAAAACUACGUUUAGCACGGCUGCAGUUGGAGACCCAGGACCGAGCUCAGGCAAGGGAAGCAGGUGGGAAAUGGUCAAGUGCGACCACGGGACGGAAAGGUGGCUGCUGUGCUCAAUUACCCAACACCUACUACGAGGAGAGAACUACUGCACCGGUGCUGUCCGCCCCCGACCUGACUCGUCCGUUCCAGCUGGAGGUGGACGCCAGCGCGGUUGGAGUGGGAGCUGUCCUUCUGCAGGAGGGUGCUGACAACCUAGGCCACCCUGUAUCAUACUUCUCAGCUAAGUUCAACAGUCAUCAGUUGAAUUAUUCAACCAUUGAAAAAGAGACCUUAGCUCUGUUGCUAGCGUUACAACAGUUUAACGUCUACGUGGGGGCUAGUGCGUCUCCUGUCGUUGUUUAUACAGAUCAUAAUCCACUUGUUUUUCUGAGCAAAAUGUAUAACCAAAAUCAACGACUCAUGCGUUGGGCCUUAAUGGUUCAGCCGUACAAUCUUGAGAUCCGUCAUAAAAGAGGCUCUGACAACGUAGUUGCAGAUGCAUUGUCUCGCGGAUUAAUUUAGGAACAGGUUUUUCUGUAUGAAUCCAUGCAGAAUCAGUUUUUCUUUUUCCCUCUAAGGAAGGAGGAAAAGAGGAAGGAAAAAAAAUGAUUCUUCCUCUAGGGGGGGAAGUGUUACGGCCACAGCCUUCUGAGUUUGUUACUUUUGUAAUUAUUAAUUGGUUUGGCCUUUCUGAGUGCAGGCUCUGCCCCUGCGCACCUGAGAGCGGUUGCGGUGAUGGCUCAGGCUGAGCAUAUAGAGGGGAGAGCGACUGAGCGCCGGGAAAGGAGGAGACCUGCGAGAGCGCCAGGCCCGGCUGCAACACCAGGAGACCAGUGUUUUGUGUUCGAGCGACUAUUGUGUUAUGUUAAGGUGUAAAACGGAGAGGCUGGAGGUUGGAAAACUAUAAAAGAUCUUUGCAUCGCUUCCUGCCUAUCGCGUUUUCUUUAUGUUGCUGACCCCUUGGCUGAACGAGCCUUCACCCUAUCGAGGGG
ensembl:lncRNA